rnacentral:snRNA from 1 species
GCAUUCACUUCGGCAACACAUAUACUAAAAUUGUGAUAAUACAAGAAGAUAAGCAUGGCCCCUGUGCAA